rnacentral:rRNA from 1 species
UACAGAGGUCCCAAGCGUUGUUCGGAUUCACUGGGCGUAAAGGGUGCGUAGGUGGUGAGGUAAGUCGGAUGUGAAAUCUCCGAGCUCAACUCGGAAACUGCAUUGGAAACUACCUUGCUAGAGGGUUGGAGGGGGGGGACUGGAAUGCUUGGUGUAGCAGUGAAAUGCGUAGAUAUCAAGCGGAACACCAGUGGCGAAGGCGGCUCACUGGCCCGAUACUGACGCUGAGGCACGAAAGCGUGGGGAGCAAACAGG